CGCUGACUGGCUGUAGCUCGCGCCAAAUUGAAGACUGACUGACUGAAAGCUUCAAACAUGUCUAAAAAGAAAGGACUUAGCUUGGAAGAAAAAAGAAGUCGUAUGAUGGAAAUAUUUUUUGAAACUAAAGAUGUGUUUCAGUUGAAGGACAUUGAAAAAAUUGCCCCCAAAUCCAAAGGAAUCACUCCCAUGUCGGUAAAAGAAGUGCUGCAGAGUCUGGUGGAUGAUAACAUGGUAGACACAGAAAGAGUUGGCACCUCUAACUAUUACUGGGCUUUUCCCAGCAAGGCCCUGCAUGCCCGUAAAUGUAGACUGGAAGAGCUGGAGAUACAGUGUGAGGAAGGAAAGCAGCGCAAAAUAGCCCUUCAGCAAGCGGCUGACAAAGCCAAAGUUGGGCGUGAAAUUAACGAGGAAAGAGAAGCUCUUCUGAAGGAGCUUGGGGCAUUGAAAGACCAAAGAGAUCAGAUGAAGGCUGAAGUUGAGAAGUACAAAGAAUGUGAUCCGGAGGUGGUGGAGGAGAUUCGAUGAACGGAGCGUCCCGUGCGCAGCUCGCGCCCACAUGUGCUUUCAUAGCGACACAGCACUGCUGCCUGUUCACAUACAGUACAAAUGCAAGUUUGUAUUACGUUAUUUUAAAUACGUUUAUGAGCGUAUAAAAGCAUGGAUUAUUUAAUUAGAUUUUUUUUAUCCACAUUUUUCUGUUCUCUUUCUGUAGCGCGAGUCAUACAUACACAGAUUCAGUGUAUGUUGCUGUGAGAAGAGAAGGUUCACACAGUUCAAGAGAGAGUGAUUGACAGCGUGAUGUGAUCGAUCGUUUCCACCCAACAAUAGAAUAUAUACAGUUUUAGGUAUGACAUGAUGUGUUUAUUGAGCUUUAGUUCAUUUAACUUUUCUUUACUACAACCUUUUGAAGUCGAAUCUCACUAUUAUAUUUUAUAUUUACAAAAAUACUGUAGGUACAUUUUAGGAGCUGUUUGAUUUGGGGUAAGUUUUACUUUUUGAUAAUAUUUGUUUUUCUGAGGGUCUAGACUACAUGCAGCUACUAUCACUUGGCGCAGAAAACAGCGGUGGGUGGUAGGGAUGUAAUGAUUCACUCAGCUCAUGAUGCGAUGCGAUUAACGAUUCUGAUCUCACGAUGCGAUUUAUUCACGAUUUACUCACGAUUUAUUUUGAAAAAAUGAGUUGAAACAAAUUAGAAAUGAACAACUUCCCUUGCAUUAUUUCUUAAAUGCUUCACGUUUCUUUGUAUAAUAAAAUAAUGUUUUAUUUCAAAUAACAAAACUAAACUGCAAUUUUAUAACAAAUUAAUAAUAGAAAAAGUCUCUUUAAUAUAAACAAACUAAUACUGUCUGAGCUUUUCUUGGAUUUUUUUGCAUUUAAGAAAUAUCAGCAUGUCCACGUUUAGGUUUGCAGUGAAAAUAGCGGCCCCUGCUGUUCAAAAAAUUUGCGAUUCAGUUCAAGCCUCAACCGAUUUGAAUCGUCGCUCAUUAUAACCGAUUUUCAACCGGCUCACGGUGAAUCGUUACAUCCCUAGUGGGUGGCGUUAUGGAUAUACCGUCGUUUUUAUCGUUAUCGCAAGAAAUACCAGGAGUUAUCGUGAUAGAGUUUUAGGGCCAUAUCGCCCAUCCCUAGCCCCCAUGACGUAAUUUUCGUCAUCAGGAGGGUCUGUGGUUGUCCGCACACCCUGUCUGCGUGCAGCCCAUUUUUUGAGACCGUGUGGACGGAAUGCGUACACCAGCGAAUGCUCAAAUUUUUUUAAUCAGCCGUGUCCAGUCGUUGACGUACAGUGCGCAUGUGUCGAACUUGUCUAUCAUGAUCCGCACUCAUGAUCCGCGAUUGAGUAUGCUCAAGAAGCUGUGCGGACGCGUUUGUGCGCGAGACGGAUGCGGAAAGUCAAGUGUACCCGGCCCUUUACUCGUUCAGGCUGUAGGUCAGUCAGUCUGUAAACAAUAAUUGCGGCCUCCAUGUUGCAUGUUUGUGCCGCAUACUUAUUAUAAUUUCUCCAGCAAAAAGUAGAUUUACUGCACCACUACAACCAGCGGAGACAUAGUAUUUAUAUGCAUGCUACUAUAAACACACACACGCCGACAAAGUGUAUUAAAACACUUUUAGAUUAAAACAGGUUAUGCGUAUGUGCGCAGGCACGAAGCAUUUCUUUACAGAACAACAUUGCCAUCCACUGGCCUGGCAUGCAUAAUCCAUGUAAAUGCAGAUAGUUUUGAUAACGCUGUCGUGUGUACGUGAAAAUUUUCUAAAACGCAAAAAAAUCUUUUCCGUUUUUAUCCUGUAAACUAGGGAUCCUGAUCACACUUUUUGUGCUCCCGAUCCAAGUCAUUUUAUAUUGAGUAUCUGCCGAUCCGAGCCCCGAUCCGAUACUUUUACUUUCCUAGAGCUAGGUGCAUGCUCCAGGUAUAUUAAGGUUAUUAAAAUCAGGGCCCGCUCCAGGCAUGGGCAGGGGUGGGCUGAGCCCACCUAAACGUCUGUCUUGCCCACCCAAUGAGAAUAAAAAACAACACCAAAAAUUGCAGUAUUUUCUAUUGGUUGAAAGUAACGUCACUCUUCACUCACAGAGCGGCUUUAGUUUGUAACAGAGAUGCUGGUGGAAGCAAAAUAAUGUGCAAAGGAAUGUUAGGCACACUGCACGCUUGCUUUGAGUUUAUGCAUGCAGCAUGUAAAAUUAAUUGUGCAGUAAAUUCAGAUUCAUUUAUUAUAACGGGAGUUUUUGCGGUCUUAUUUUGUGAAGGAGAAGUGAGCGGUAACAUUAACAAACAGCUAUUAUUUGCUUGCAAUAUUUAGGCUAGAUUUUAACUUAUCGACCGUCAGGAAUGACUGAAAGAUCCAGUUUUACAAAUAAAUCUGUCUCCCUCCAUCUCAAACACCCCAAUUCAUAGUGAAGGUGGUAGCAAAACACUGAGAAAAAGAGUUUAGUUUAGGCGCGCUGCGCGCUCACAGACCGCAGAUAUGAUGUAAAGUUGUGCAGUGUAAUCAGAUUCAUUCAUUAAAACGGGAGUUUUUUUGCGAAAUUUAACAGAAGUCAGUGAUCGUUCAGUGAUGGGGAAUGUUCUUAGCACGCUUUCUUUAUAGGCUUCUAUUUAUUAUACAUAACCGUUUUAUGCGUAAAACAUCAAUAAAAUCAAACGCACACAAUUACUAUAUAAAGGGCAAUAAUCAACAAUAAUUAUUUUUGUUUUAAUCUUGCAGUCUUCUGUAAUGAAUGUCUGUUUUAGAUAUUUAUAACAUCAUAAAUCAUUUAAAUCCUGCAUGUAUUGAAGUCAUAUAUUGCAGUGUUUGUUAAAAGUCACCCAACAGCAAUAUCAAAGACUGAGAGCAUGAUAAUAAACUCAUUUUAAUAAAGCAGGGUUAUUUCAUAAAUCAUCUUUUUAACUUUUUCUAAUACAUGUAGGCCUACAAACAAUAGUUUUGUGUUGUUUAAAACUAAAUAUGAACUUGUUACGUUUUUUUGCGAUAUUUCAGUUUACUCCAAACAACAUUUUUAUAUGACAUUUGAGGGAAAUGUUGUCAGACGUUCACAGAAAUAAACAAUAAUUUUUCCAAAACACAUUCUUAUCUUAUCAGAAAAAAAGAAAAAAAAUGUUUAAACGGUUUCUUAAUUUUUUUCUGGUUGGGUAUAUGCCCACCCAGGAUAACUGCUAGCCCACCCUUCUGCACCUGGCAUAAUGACAGAGUGACAGUUGAAAAUUUCUUUUCAACUUGGCUAAUUCAAAUAGCAGGAUUAGAUUUAACAUUAAAAUGGCCCUCUUUAUCAAUGAAGUAUAGUUUAAAUGCUUUUAUUGCAGCUUGACAGGAGUUUGUCCCCAUGAGACAGAAAAACAAAGCUUCAUUUGACACUCUCUCAAAACUAAAACACUCAACACAAUACUGCAAGUUUGCUCUAUGGUAUACACAUAUACAGUAUCUCACAGAAGUGAGUACACUCCUCACAUUUUUGUAAAUAUUUUAAUUGGGCCCAAUUUGGACAUAUUCACUUAGGGGUGUACUCACUUUGGUUGCCAGCGGUUUAGACAUUAAUGGCUGUGUGUAGGGAGAGACAUGUCCAGCUACGGAACCGCAGCAACAGACUCUGAACCAAACAUUCUUUCUAACACCAUCAACAAGAACGCAUAAGCUAAUACAAUGAAACACAUUCAUUAUACAAUAAUUCUACACAAGAUUGACGUUUUAAAUGGCUUUUUGUACUAUACCUUAAUGUAUUAUUAUAACUUACACAUGUAAGACCUGAAAAGUAGCCUUAUGACGUUUUCGCGUGUAACAAUAGGAAAUCACACUCCAAGACUCUAGGUUGAAACUUACUUCGUGUAAGAACGCAAGCUCCGCCCCUCCUUUCUGUGGCUGCUGUUCAGAAACUGCUGUUCAGAAUCUGUUGCUGCGGUUCCGCAGCUGGACAUUAUUGUGUAGGGAUGGGUAUCGUUAAGAUUUUAACGGUAUUACUACUCUUAUCGAUACUGCUUAUCGGUCCGGUACUUUUGGAUAUAAAGAUAUUUCUUCUUGGGGAUGGAGCAGUGGAAUCAGAAGGAGUGGGUUGGUACAUCUUAAAAAACAUUUCAAAAUCUUUAUAAGGGUAAUUGAAUUUUACUCUAAAUAGUUACUCUAUGUAUUACUGUAUGCACAUUUAUUUUGUGUAUACUGCACUGAAUUAUUUCAGUUCUGAGUGUAAUAAUAAAUGAUUACACAUAUAGGCUGAUUAAUUUUUUUAAACAGUUAACUAAUAGAAAAUGGAUUACUUGUGUAAUUUCCUUUCACCCAUGUGGAAUUAGCAUAGUUUUAAGGUUAUGGAAACCAGUUAGAUUGAAUUUACAGUUGUUUUAAAUGGGGUGAAUGGCAUUAGCAUAGAAUGUCAGAGUUCAAGUAACAUCUGUUAGCAUUCAGCAUACAUACCUGACGUAGAUGGGGCAUCAAGAGAUGAACUAGAUUGGGCUAAGUGCAUCUCUCUGUCUGUACAUGAUGCUCUUUUGACAGGUGCUUUGACGGAUUACUUGUGUUUCCACCCUUACAAGCAAAAGUUUUGUUGCACUUGUGGCAACGAGCAUUGUCACUGUCAGCAUCAACUUUGGUGAAGUGUAACCACACUUUUGAACGUUUAGUUCUCUCUGCCAUCGUCGCGAAUUAAGAGCGUCUUUCUUCUGUGCGGCUGUUUGUGUGUGUGCGCGCAGUGUAGACACAAACUGCGCGGGAGACACGUGACAUGCCGCUUCGCGCUCUCUGCUGGGAAUAAUGAAUAUGCAUGCGCCAAAGACUAAAUUCUUGGUGUUAUUGAAAAUUAGAAACUAUUGUUGAGAUAAAAUGUUCAAGAUAACGUUAAUGUAGCAAUAACAUAAGAUUUUUUUUCCCUGAGGACCGAAAGCAGAACCGAUAAGGGCGAAGCUUAUCGAUUCUCCGGUCUUUCAGAAUUUUGCCCCGGGGCCCAUUUAAUACCGGGUUUUGGUACCCAUCCCUAGCUGUGUGUUGAGUUAUUUUGAGGGGACAGCAAAUUUACACUGUUAUACAAGCUGUACACUCACUACUUUACAUUGUAGCAAAGUGUCAUUUCUUCAGUGUUGUCACAUGAAAAGAUAUAAUAAAAUAUUUACAAAAAUGUGAGCGGUCCCCUCACAUUUGUAAAUAUUUUAUUUACAAAAGUCAGUGGGAGAGUAAGAGCGAUAACAUCAAAUUUAACACCUGCUCCCCAUUCACACCUGAGACCUUGUAACACUAAAGAAUCACAUGACACCGGGGAGGAAAAAUGGCUAAUUGGGUCCAAUUAAUAAUAAUAAAUUAAAUAGUAAUAAAAUAUUUACAAAAAUGUGAGGGGUGUACUCACUUCUGUGAGAUGCUGUAUAUCUUUGAACUUUCACUUUGAAAUAAAGGGAAAACAGCAUCUCUGUAGUGUUAGCGGACAGCCGCAAAUAUGCUUCUCAGCUGUGUCAUUAAGUUUCUUGUAAAGCUCAGGGAAAGCGCUGUAUGAAGGAAGAAAUCAGACACUAACCUGUGUUCUCUAUCACAGCGUCACAAAACUGAGUGAACUCGCUGUAAUCCGUCCACUUUUUUGAGGGUGUGGUAUUAUAUUUUUAUUAUUGAACGAAGCUCCGUUGUGCUGCUGACAUUACAAGCACAUUUCCACACUGCAGACACAGCUGUCACAGCUCGCGAUCUCAUUUACGAAACUUGCGUGAUGGCAGAGGUGAUCGGAAAUGAUCGAGCAAAAUAUAGCCGAUCCCGAUCAGGUUAAAAAUGCCUUGAUCGGCCCCCCCCGAUCCCGGUCUUUGCGAAUGGCUUGGGACAUCCCUAGUGUAAACGUACUCUGAGUGUCUUGAGUAUACCUUCACCUCCUGACAAAUUAGACUUGUGUCUUCUGUUGGACAGCAUUUUUCUUUCGUAGUGCUUUGACUGUGAUUUCUUAAAAAUGUAUCUUUAAUUGAUUUCGCAAUGGGAUCUUCCUGACACUCAUGAUUUCUCAUAAGAUCAUCACUUCUUAAAAGCGUGAUUUGAUCAUUUCUGCCUCAUAUGUCACAAUAGUCCUGGCAAAUGUUGUAUUUAACACCUGACAGUUUGCAACAUUUUUUACUGUAACCCCUGAAGCAGAACCAGCUAGAAGCUGUACUGCUGUGUUGUGCCAUAAUUCGGCUUGGUUAAAUCCUGAAGGGCUUCAACAAGCCUUCAUAAUACAUUUUAUAUUUAGCAUCUUUUCAUUACACAGAGGCAAACACACCAACAUACAACUGCAGUUAUUGUGUCUUUCCUGGCCUGUUUCACACUUCCGAGUAGAUUCAGCUUUGAAUAUUUCUCGAUUCACUCCAGUCAAUCCUCUGAUCAGUCGUGAAUAAUCAUCUCAACACAGGCGCUGGUGAAGAUAAUGACUCAUGUCUCUUUAGAGAAAAUAACAUUUGUAACCUCGCUUUACAUCAUUUGUCACCCCAUGCUUGCAGUUCUGUCUUUCUAACGACCGCUCUACAUUUUAAAACAUGGCAAUGUCAGUAGGUCCUGCUAAAAUAUUUCACGCUUCCUUUGCCUCUAGGGAUUUGUCAUUAUGGCAAAUUAUUAUUAUUUUAGUCAUGUUUAAAUUGGCCUUUGGGGUGUAUUGUGAACAAUGAUAAAUACGAUAGCAGUGGCUAGUAGGAAUAUGACUUCAUCCUUUAUUUUGUUAUAAGCAUACAUUUCUGAAUUUUUUCCAGUGAUUUGGUCUGUGUGAGUCCACUUCAUAAAUUCCUAUUUGUAGGACUGCUUGAUAAAAAAAAAUCCUAAUCACUAUUAGUUUGGUCAAUAUUGAGAUCACGAUUAUUUAACACAAUUACGCAUUGACUAGAAAAUAAGCUUGAAAAACAAAUAAAAAAUAAAUGUUAACUAUAGAUACAACAAAGUAAUAAAUGCAUGGAUUAAAAUAAGUAACGUAGAGUUAAAUGAUGAAUAUAAUCAAUAACAUCAAAACAAAUUAGAUCAAAUAUGUUAAAAUAUGUAGAUGAAUGUUGAUCUACAUUUAACACGUCUGACUAAACUUAAGCUUUUGGGAGGGGCGAAAGUGCACUGCUGUGGAAAGGAAAGAUGUGUGCUGUACAGGAUACACAAGAUAUGAGACAAUGCUUGCAAAACGGAAUGUGACAAUAAUCAUUUAACCUUGAUUAUGUAGUUUUUUUGUAAUGUUGUAAGCCAAAACUAAAAUAAAUCAAUUAUGAUUAAUUUCACUGCUUUAACUAUAAGUACACUGGCAUACUUACUAUAAAUAAAGUUUGUGAACAUUAAACUAUUUUCAUUUUUUUUGUAUAACAAUGUAGCUUACUCGCCUUUGCAGCUAAAAAACACUUUUAUUUACAGACUAGUUCUGAAAACUUGCAAAGAAAUUCGUAUUGUGCCCUAUAGGAAAAUAAAGAGCAAGGUGGCUCUGCACUUUGAGUGUUGGACUUUUUUCGUCUAUGCAGUCAUAGCUUGUCUUAAAUUGCUUUUUGUUUUCGAUAUGUGUUGGGUGCAGUACUGCUCAUUACAUCAUUAUUAGAGGUGAUGAUGAAAUGAUAGAGUAAACAUAAACAAAGAUGUGUCUGUAACACCCAGGGGGUUCAGCUGUUCUAAGAAAGAUGGAUAAGAGAGAUCCACUUAAAGAUGUCGCGGCUCUUUAUUAUCAGUGUUCAUGAAGCUUAAGUUUAUAUUUCUAGGGCAACCUGAUUUGUUUUGAUUGUUUUUUUUUCCACUUUAAUGACCAAGGGCUCCAAACCACUUAUCACAAGGUUGCUGGUACGAGUCCCAGUCGGCACCCAGGGGAUGUUGAAUCAGUACGAGGGCUAAUGAUGCAUUUGAGCAGUACACAUAACCCUGGGGCGCUAAACAUAUCAAUGUUUUCAUCACACUUUGUGGAUGUGGUUUUAAAAGAGUUUAAAGUGCAAUUAAAUUGCAGUGUUCAUGUGACUAAAUUGAACCUUCAUAUCAAAUUCCACCCACAGUGUUGCGAUUUUUAAAGACAUGCUGUAUUUGUUGACUUCUCAGUCAAGUGCGCAAUGCUUUGGACUGCAUGCAUCUGCUACUCUUAUGUCAUUGUUUACCUCAUUUGUAAAUCGCUUUGGAUUAAAGCGUCUGCUAAAUGACUAAAUGUAAAUGUAAAUGUAGGGUGCACAGAGAGGACACAAUGCAUUUUCAAUACGACUGGGCAGAUUAAUGUGCUUUUUUCAGAUUGAAUAUUGUCAUGACUCUGCUUCAUCAUGUCAUGUCUAUUCUUGGUCUUGUAGCAGAGUCAUGGCAAAGCCUUAGGUUUUAUGUGGAGAGAGAGAUUGUUGACCUUUCGGCCUUCCAUACUCUCUCUCGCCGGUCCACAUCCCUGUUCCCGCCAUCUCGUUUCCUCGUUAACUUUCCCUGAGUGUGUUAUUACCCACACCUGCCCCUUGCUAAUUAUCCUUUGUCUGUCUCCCUAUAUAAUACCCUCAUGUUUCAUUGUCCUGUGUUCAGUCAUUGUGUGUGCUAUGUGCUGUAUUCAGUUGUCUUGUUCUCGUCCAGCGUUAGCCGUUAUUGCCUGUUCCUGUUGUUGCUGUGUCAUCGUCUUAGUAAGAGUUUAGUUUAGUUUGUCAAGUGUUUAGUUUAGUUUAGUUUGUCAAGUGUUUAUUCAGUCUAGUGUUUAGUCAGUCUUCGUUCUGUGCUUGUUUAUUACUUUUAUGUUGCUGUUUUUACCCCAUCGCGGGUCCUUGUUUUGUGUUUGUUAAAAUAAAGUCUUUUAUGUUAACCCCUUAAUCCCUGGCUGCCUGCAAUUGGGUUCUUCCCCUGCUGAUCGUGACAGAAUAUAAUCCAAAACCUUGGAAUGGUUUUUGAGCAUUUGUUAAUCUAGCUCUGAAAUUGAAGUGGUCUGGGCAAGACAUUCAAAAUGAUGGAUUAUAUAUCAGUGUGUCCGCUAACUGUCUAAGACGUAAAUCAAUGGACUCAAUGAAAAAAGGGACCAGCUUGUGUGAUUUAUAACCAUCUGCAGAGCUUUUAGGUUGCACACAAAUCAUAUGGAUCUGCACAGCUGAGUUUUACCAAAGGACCAGCUGCAUUCAGCAAACAUUGACAAGCUAUGUAAGACUUAAAGCAUGAUCCUGUAGUUUAACAGGUUUAGCAACUGCUUGACAUUAGCAAUGCAAAAGCAAUCAUGGGUUCGAUUACCAUGAAGCAAAUUUAUAGAAACUAAGCAUCUGAUGCAAUGUAAGUAACUUUGCUAAAAACUUAGUGUAUACGCAACCCAACAAGCCUGACUUUGCUAACAUACCCAUGCUUUAUCUAGGUAAAACCAACAUUGCAGCAAAGGAGGCAGUGUCUAGGUGGACAGAUAAUGUUUUUGCAAUCAAAUCCUGGGCGAAGAGGAAGUUUGGCUUUGAGAACAGCCGUUUAGACAAAGCUUUUG